rnacentral:rRNA from 1 species
GUCCAGACUCCUACGGGAGGCAGCAGUGAGGAAUAUUGGUCAAUGGGCGGGAGCCUGAACCAGCCAAGUCGCGUGAGGGAAGACGGUCCUAUGGAUUGUAAACCUCUUUAGGCGGGGAGCAAUGCCGGGCACGUGUGCCCGGAGGGAGAGUACCCGGAGAAAAAGCAUCGGCUAACUCCGUGCCAGCAGCCGCGGUAAUACGGAGGAUGCGAGCGUUAUCCGGAUUUAUUGGGUUUAAAGGGUGCGUAGGCGGGAUGCCAAGUCAGCGGUAAAAAUGCGGUGCUCAACGCCGUCGAGCCGUUGAAACUGGCGUUCUUGAGUGGGCGAGAAGUAUGCGGAAUGCGUGGUGUAGCGGUGAAAUGCAUAGAUAUCACGCAGAACUCCGAUUGCGAAGGCAGCAUACCGGCGCCCUACUGACGCUGAGGCACGAAAGCGUGGGUAUCGAAUAGGAUUAGAUACCCUGGUAC